rnacentral:rRNA from 1 species
CCGAUGGCGACCGGCGCACGGGUGAGUAACACGUAUCCAACCUGCCGAUAACUCGGGGAUAGCCUUUCGAAAGAAAGAUUAAUACCCGAUGGCAUAAUAGAACCGCAUGGUUUGAUUAUUAAAGAAUUUCGGUUAUCGAUGGGGAUGCGUUCCAUUAGGCAGUUGGUGGGGUAACGGCCCACCAAACCUUCGAUGGAUAGGGGUUCUGAGAGGAAGGUCCCCCACAUUGGAACUGAGACACGGCCCAG